GAUAUGGCGUAGUGGUAGUGCGUCUGUCUGCGACGAAGAAAGUUCCGGGUUCGAUCCCGGUGGGUCA